CAGCCUCAGAUCAGAUGUCGCGACCCACUGAAUGUAAAAAUCUAACUAAGCAGAGGAAAAGUCACUAACCAGGAUCCAUGUCCAGAGGCGGGUGCAGGAAAAGUGGCAUACAGAAGACAAACUCCCCAGCAUCACUUAGGGGGCCUAAGUCCUUCUGUUUGGGGCCCACCAGGUGGAUGGUGUUAGGCUAGUAGCAUCCCCCGGCAUGCUAGGAUCGGGUAUUCUUUGAGUCAGGUGCUUGGGAAUGCCACCCAAAGCAGAUGGUGGACUCCAUCUAAGGCUAAGUAUGGCUGCGAAAUGGACCAUAAGGGAACGUUGUGAAGUACUUUGAAGAGAGAGUUCAAGAGGCGUGAAACCAUUGAGAGGUAAACGGGUGAGGAUUCAACCAAGUGGGCAGCUUGGUCAAUCAGACCACGGAUCCCCUUGCGGGACACCACCCAGGCACAAUUGGCUCCCAGAGGGCACAUUUCCUCUGUGGCCGUGCAGAGUGACCGGCUCAGGGUCGGCUGGGAAUGCCCGGGGACAGGUGGGUCUCUGAUCUGUUGAAGAGUGUUACAUCCCCUGGCUACAGUUUUGUCAUGUCCAUGGGGCCAAGGGAGGUUGACCACUGGCACACCCUCCUCCAUCAACCGACCCGGCACCACUAGGCCAUCACGGGGGUAGAGACAGGGGAUGGGGACCGCUGCUCCCGGUGCGACUGUCCACUCAGUGGACUGUCCUCAGUGUACCUCGACCAAAUCGCUCUUCCGGUGGGGGGCCCACAUAGGGUGCCAGAGGUCUGCAGUGAUGUUGGUUAACCACCCAGCAUGUCUUGAAACACAGACCCAAAGGGUCUAUCACAUACACAAGUCAGAGAACCAAGCAAAACGUGUGGCACAAUGAAGGUGAUGGCCAGAACACGCCAGCUCAGGUGAGAUCCCAUUGUGUCGUGCACACACUGCCACCUCUCAGCUGCUCUGUUGGGAAGUGGGGCAUGAGCGUGUGUGAUAAGACCCAAAAGAUGGUGUUCUGUGCCUGGGCAGCGCAAAGCCAGAGGGAACUCUGGUAGAGGUCUGUCGCAGUCCUGUCAUGUAUAUCGGUUGUCUGACCUGGGUAUAGUGGCAGAUGAGCAAUAGUGCCAUCCAGUAGCUGCUUCCCUCUGAAGUAUCCCACAGGAUAGCUGGCACUCAGAUAGCCCAGUUCAAUCUGGUGAAGCAAAUGUUUAGAGGUCUGGGGCCCAAAACGGUCUCAACCUGUUCUCAGACUUUAUAUGGGUGAGUAGCCCGGUUCACUGGCAUGAAGCUGGACAUCGAUUUCCAAGGCCCAGUGAGACACUUUUGGUAUGCAGAACUGGCGCUGCAGGAUAAACUGAAUGCCAGGUUAAAGCACAUGAUGCCGCCACUCACCAGGCCCCAGAAAAGGUAUUGGAUGAUAUAAACAUCAGAAAUGUGGCAGUCAGAAUCUGCUAUGGAGUGUGUAACGACUCACCUCCUGAAUCAACUUGCCCUUACAAUGUAUGGGGCAUGGAGCAUCAGGCCCAUACCCAACUAGUGCUGGCACUGAGAGCCAGAAAGGCUAAGUUGGGACAAGUAGGAGGGCUUCUGCCAUGCGCAUGGUAGUCCGGGAUGAGUGCUCUGGUGGAGCCACCACAGUUGCAGAUCUUAGACAUAGUAGCAAAUGUUCAAACGAGAACUUUGAAGGCCAUAGUGGAGGAGAGUACCAUGUGAACAGCUGUUGAACAUGGUUUGGUCAUUCCUAAAACAUGUGUGAGCACCGUUCAGAAGGGACAGGCAAUGGCCUCCGUUGCCCUCAGCCAAUCGAAAGUGAGUCAGGUUCAGAUCCCCAAACCGUAGCGUAGAUGGGCACCCUCGCGACAUACAUUGCUGUAACGCAAAAGUUCCUGGAGAAUCCGGUAUUCGCCCUGGGGAAGAGUUAUUUUUCGUUGUGAGGGCAGGGUACCCAGGAAUGGGUUUGACCCAAGGAGCGCAAGCCUUUGAAUGCAUCACAGUUCAAGGAGUCUAUGGUGAGCUCUCGCUGGUCCUUGAUAAUCCAGAGGAGAUAAGUUAAAUCUCAUGCAGGUCUGUUUUCAUAUCUGCAGCAGGGCGUCAAGAUGAACCACCUCUGGUAGGUUAGAACAAUGUAGGUAAAGGAAGUUGGCAAGUAAGAUCUGUAACUUCAGGAUGACAAUUGGCUCUAAGGGCUGGGUGGGUCAGGCUGGUACAUUCUAGUCUGGCACUGUGAGGAGACAUGACAGGUGUAGGAUACGUCGGAGGCCCUCAGGCCAGCAGUGAAAUACCACUACUGCUAUCAAUUUUUCACUUGCCCAGUUAGGUCGGUGGGCAAGUCCCAUGGGGCUGUCACUUCUGGGUCUAAGCACAGGCUCUAGCCAGAAGUCAACCCACUCCGGGGACAUUGACAAGCUUGACUGAGGCAGUACACCUCUGCUACAAUAACACACAUGCCCUAAGGCUAGCUCAGGGAGAACACACAUAUCCCACAAAGACGAAGGGCAAACGCUUGCUAGAUCUCUAUUUUACAUAUGCAGACAGACUGUGUAAGUGUGGCUUCAAUUUCCUUCUAACUUUUGUGUCUGACAAUUACCACAGGGAUAACUGUCUUGUGGCGGUAAAGCAUUCAUUGAGUCUUUCCAUUUUGAUCUUCCAUGUCGGCUCUUCCUAUCAUUGUGAAGCAGAAUUCGGCAAACGUUUGUUUGUUCACCCACUUAUAGGGAACGUGAGCUGUUAGUCCAUCGUGAGACAGGUUAGUUUUACCCUACUGAUGAUGUGUUGUUGCAAUAGUAAUCCUGCUCAGUACGAGAGGAACCGCAGGUUCAGACAUUUGGUGUAUGUGCUUGCCUGAAGGGCCAACGGGGCGAAGCUGGCAUCUGUGGGAUUAUGAAUGAAUGUCUCUAAGUCAGAAUCCUCCCUAAACUGCAACAGUAACAGAGCACUGUGGAGCCUCGGUUGGCCUAGGACAGCCAGCCCACGGGCCAUGCAUAGAGCUACUUGCCUACAGGACUAGAGUAUGGACAGAACGGGCUAACCUCACUCACCCGUAGUGCACCACAUCUUCAUGGAGAAUGUGGUGCAUAAUCAUUUUUAGACUACCUG
rnacentral:rRNA from 1 species